AAUGAACGUGGCGGCGUGGAUUAGGCAUGCAAGUCGAGCGAGAAGCUUUCCUUCGGGAGAGUGGACAGCGGCGAAAGGGAGAGUAACGCGUGGAUCACCUGCCCCCGGAUUCGGAAUAGCCACGAGAAACUGUGGGUAAUACCGAAUAAUGUCUACGGACCAAAGGUGCGAUUCCGUCCGGGGAUGGGUCCGCGUCCUAUUAGCUUGUUGGUAGGGUAACGGCCUACCAAGGCUACGAUGGGUACUGGGUGUGAGAGCAUGACUCAGCUCACUGGGACUGAGACACUGCCCAGACACCUACGGGUGGCUGCAGUCGAGAAUCUUCGGCAAUGGGCGAAAGCCUGACCGAGCGACGCCGCGUGCGGGAUGAGGGCCUUCGGGUUGUAAACCGCUGUCAGAGGGGAUGAAAUCUCUGGGGGCUAUCCUCCAGAGUUGACACAUCUUCAGAGGAAGUCCGGGCUAAGUUCGUGCCAGCAGCCGCGGUAAGACGAACCGGACAAACGUUAUUCGGAAUCACUGGGCUUAAAGGGUACGUAGGCGGCGCGGCAAGUUGGGUGUGAAAUCCCUCGGCUCAACCGAGGAAUGGCGCCCAAAACUGCCGUGC
rnacentral:rRNA from 1 species